UGCGCAGGCCGGGCCUAGAGGAUGUGAGGGAUCCGUCGUCCAGGGUGUUGGAGUUAGAGAAGGCUGGGGCUCAGGCCUGCUCCUGCCUUUGGAUCUUUGGAGUCCUGAUGCCUGGAAAUCUUCCCAGUAAAUCUCCGUGGAGCAUUCCUUCACCUUCCCAGGCAGUCUGAAGAAACCCUCUCAAAGAGCUCUAUCCUGGCUGCUUUAAAAUUUCAAUCCACUGGGCUACCUGGUGGAGCCUUGUCUCAGAAAGAAAGAAAGAAAGAAAGCAAGAAAGAAAGAAAGAAAGAAAGAAAGAAAGAAAGAAAGAAAGAAAGAAAGAAGAAAGCGGAAUCUAGCUGGGUGCAGUGGCACACGCCUGUGAUCCCAGCACUCUGGGAGGCAGAGGCAGAUGGGUCUCUGUGAGCUCAAGGCCAGCCUGGUCUACAAAGUGAGCCUACGACAGCCAGGGCUACACAGAGAAACCCUGCCUCAAAAAGGAAGAAAAAGAAAUAAGUUGCGAUCCGCUAUCCCAGACUUCUUUUGUGUGUGUGGGGUGUGGGACUGAUUCAGAUGGUCCACAGCAGCAGACCGUGCCUCGUGUGGGCUCUGAGAGGAGCUCUUUGCCAGCUGAGGACUCUGGAGAGGGGCCUCUGAGAAAGAAGGCAGGUGUGUCCCCCAUCCCCAUCCCCCUGCUGCUCCUGGUUGCUGCUGAUACAAGAAGUUGGAGAUCUCCUGAAACAAAGAUUGGACUUGCCCGAAGGAACCCAGCGACCCUAAACAGCAGGAAGUAGCCAAAGGGAACUCUGGCCCCUGUCCCCACUAACCUUCCUUCUCUCCUACCUGGUAUUGGGGUGUUGGAAGGGACUGGGUAGGAAAAAAGAGGUAGAGAUAUAAGAAACCUGAAUUAAAGUAGAUUAAAAAGUAUGCUAAUAUUCCAAGGCUCUGUAGAGAGACCCUGUCCAAAAAAAAAAAAGAAAAAAAAAAAAAAAAAAAAAAGGCAUGUGUUUGGGUGUCAGGUUGAAGAGUGUGAACUUGUGGUCAUUAAUCUUCAUUGUCAACCUGAGUAGAUUUAGAGUCACCCAGGAAACACACCUGAGGUUGUAGUGUGAGCAUGUUUCCCAGGGAGGUUAGAUUUUUUGGAGGACCCGUGAGAGAUGGCGUCACCCUGUGGGCUGGAUUCUAGCCUAAAGUCUUUUAAGGAAGAAAGCAGUUCACCAUCACCAUCCUGUGCCUCUGCCUCCUGACUGGAAACAGGGGCCACCUUUGCUUGUCGCCAUGGAGCCUAGCUCUCGAGCCACAAGGCUGAAUGCACCUUUUCUCAUUUGCUCCUUUCAUUCAGUUGCAGCAAGGAGAAAAGUAACCAGUGCCCAGACCGGCGCUGAAAGCACGCCUCUGGCAAUGGCUUUCUAUUUCUUGUGGUGCUAGUGGCAGGGUCCAGUGCCUUGCACACUCUUGGCAGGUAUAUCACCGGGAUCUACACACCUGAGACAGUCUCACUGUGUGGCCCCGGCCGUCCUUGAACAGCAGGUAUUCCCGCCUUGGCUUCUGUAGUGCUAAGAUUAAAGCUGGUACCACCAUGCCAGCUAGCAGCCUCUUCCAAGGCUGAGCAUGGUGUGACCUGGCCAGAUUACCUAUGGUACAAGUGAUGGGAAUGCUGUCAGCUACUUUUCCCUUCCUUCUGCAAUGGGCUAGAAGGUCUCUGUCAUCCCGGAGCUGCUGCAGUGGGGUCCUGCCUUCCACUCCCCGCCAUUCUCUACUUUAUCUUCCAGGAGGAAGGAGGAAGCAGGGGUUGUCCCCUCGGAAUCACUGCGUCCCUCUCCAAAGAAGAAAAUUCCUACUGACACUGGGAUUGGUAUUUUUUCUAAGUCCCCACGGUAAGGCUACUGCUCUGUGACCAUUAUGGAGCCUUAAAGGACAUUCUAGAACUACAGCUUGAAGGUGUAGCUCACCAGAUGAGCGCUUGCCGGAAGUGUGCAAGGCCCUGCAUUCCAUUUCCAGCACUUACACAGAACGAAGGUUCCCCUCAGAAUUGCGCUGGCACGAGCACACGGGCGCACUGCGCUGCAUGUGUGGAGCAAGCCUUUCAGCCCAAGCACUCAGGUGGACCUCUGCGAGCCUGGAGCUAGCCUAGUCUACACGGAUUUGUCUUUAGCUGUGUGCCAUGGUGCUCGCCUAUAAUCCCAACACUGAGGGAGGCAGGCAAAUCUCUGUGCGUUCAAGGCCAGCCUGGUCUACAGAGUGAGUGCCAGGACAGCCAAGGCUACAUAGAGAAACCCUGUCUCAAAAAACCAAACCAAAAUAAGACAAAAGUGGCUCCUCUUGAAGAACAGCCAAUGUUUUUACCUGCUGCCUUUAAUUCCAGCAAUUGGGAGGCAGAAGAAGGAAGAACUCUGAGUUUGAGGCCAGUCUGGUCUACGGGCCAGCCAGGGCUACAUAGUAAGACCCUAUCUAUAAACAAACAAACAAACAAGUAAAUAACAAUAAGUUAAAAAAAAUUUUUUAAGGAGAGAAAAACAAGGAGAGUUUGAGAAACUGUGACAGUUAAAUGUAAUUCAGUAUUCUGUAUGUGAUCCUGGAACAGAAAAGAAGUCAAAGUAAAA